rnacentral:rRNA from 1 species
AUACGGAGGGUGCAAGCGUUAAUCGGAAUUACUGGGCGUAAAGCGUUCGUAGGCGGUUAUUUAAGUUAGAUGCGAAAGCCCCGGGCUUAACCUGGGAACUGCAUUUAAAACUGGAUAACUAGAGUUUAGGAGAGGGAAGUGGAAUUUCAGGUGUAGCAGUGAAAUGCGUAGAGAUCUGAAGGAACACCAGUGGCGAAGGCGACUUCCUGGACUAGAACUGACGCUGAGGAACGAAAGCGUGGGUAGCAAACGGGAUUAGAAACCCCGGUAGUCC